GGUCGCAUAGCUCAGUUGGGAGAGCACCUGCCUUACAAGCAGGGGGUCACAGGUUCAAGUCCUGUUGCGACCA
rfam:Ilyobacter polytropus DSM 2926 plasmid pILYOP01, complete sequence.